GGACCCGCACAAGUAGUGGAGCAUGUGGUUUAAUUCGAAGAUACGCGCAGAACCUUACCAACACUUGACAUGUUCGUCGCGACUUUAAGAGAUUAAAGUUUUCGGUUCGGCCGGACGAAACACAGGUGCUGCAUGGCUGUCGUCAGCUCGUGUCGUGAGAUGUUGGGUUAAGUCCCGCAACGAGCGCAACCCUUAUCCUUAGUUGCCAGCGAUUCGGUCGGGAACUCUGAGGAGACUGCCGGUGUGAAACCGGAGGAAGGUGGGGAUGACGUCAAGUCCUCAUGGCCCUUAUGCCCAGGGCUACACACGUGCUACAAUGGCCGGUACAAACUGUUGCAAGCCAGCGAUGGUUAGCCAAUCAGAAAAAGCCGGUCUCAGUUCGGAUCGCAGUCUGCAACUCGACUGCGUGAAGUCGGAAUCGCUAGUAAUCGC
rnacentral:rRNA from 1 species